rnacentral:rRNA from 1 species
AUGGGCGUGGCGGAGACGCCCGAUCCGCUCGGGCGCGGCGGCGCGCACAACCUCAGCCCGCCGCGGCUGCCCCCCGGCGUCUACUUCAGCCCGACGCGGGAGGAGAGCGUAGCGCUCCUCGACCGCUGGAUCGCCGGCGGCGGCAAGGAGUGCCCCGGCGCCGCGGCCAAGCGCGCCGGCCGCAAAGUCGACACCGGCGGGUACUGGCGGGAGGACCGGUGCAAGGCCGAGGGGGGCGGGUUCAAGAGCUACUUCGUCUUCUUCCUCGGCCCCGGCCCCGGCCCGUCCAGGAAGGAGAAGACACCGUGGGUGGCGCAGGAAUUCACCAGCGCCAAGGACGACGGCGCCGGCAAGAAGGGCGUGCCCGCGCUCUACAUGCUCUACGUCUCCCCGCGCGCCACCGACGACGAGCUGAGGGGGAUCUACGGGGAGGACGGCGUCACGGUGGGGCCCGACGGGGACAAGAAGCCUGUCCGGGCCGCCGUCCCGGCAGGCUGUUUCGACGCCGUCGUGGCGCUGCUGCCGCCGGGGAGCGUCCGUGGUCUCGGGCAAGAGCGCGUCGAGGUGUCGCAGGCGCCGCCUCCGCCGCAGCCGGCGUGUCAUCUUCAUCACGACGGCCAGCAGGAGCAGAACUCCACGGGGGCGGCAUCGCGGGCGGGCGUUCUUGGUCAGUGCCAGCAGCAGCCGGCGAAGACGGUCAUGACGAUAUAG